rnacentral:rRNA from 1 species
UGGAUCCAGACUUUGAUUCUGGCUCAGGACGAACGCUGGCGGCGUGCUUAACACAUGCAAGUCGAACGAGAGGAGAAGGAAGCUUGCUUCUUUCAAAUCUAGUGGCAAACGGGUGAGUAACACGUAAACAACCUGCCUUCAGGAUGGGGACAACAGACGGAAACGACUGCUAAUACCGAAUACGUUCCUUAGGUCGCAUGACCAAGGAAGAAAGGGUGGCCUCUACUUGUAAGCUAUCGCCUGAAGAGGGGUUUGCGUCUGAUUAGGUAGUUGGUGAGGUAACGGCCCACCAAGCCGACGAUCAGUAGCCGGUCUGAGAGGAUGAACGGCCACACUGGAACUGAGACACGGUCCAGACUCCUACGGGAGGCAGCAGUGGGGAAUCUUCCGCAAUGGGCGAAAGCCUGACGGAGCAACGCCGCGUGAGUGAUGACGGCCUUCGGGUUGUAAAGCUCUGUGAUCGGGGACGAACGGUCAGCAGACGAAUACUCUGCUGAAGUGACGGUACCCGAAUAGCAAGCCACGGCUAACUACGUGCCAGCAGCCGCGGUAAUACGUAGGUGGCAAGCGUUGUCCGGAAUUAUUGGGCGUAAAGCGCGCGCAGGCGGCUUCUUAAGUCCAUCUUAAAAGUGCGGGGCUUAACCCCGUGAUGGGAUGGAAACUGAGAGGCUGGAGUAUCGGAGAGGAAAGUGGAAUUCCUAGUGUAGCGGUGAAAUGCAUAGAGAUUAGGAAGAACACCGGUGGCGAAGGCGACUUUCUGGACGACAACUGACGCUGAGGCGCGAAAGCGUGGGGAGCAAACAGGAUUAGAUACCCUGGUAGUCCACGCCGUGAACGAUGAAUACUAGGUGUAGGAGGUAUCGACCCCUUCUGUGCCGGAGCUAACACAAUAAGUAUUCCGCCUGGGAAGUACGAUCGCAAGAUUACAACUCAAAUGAAUUGACGGA